rnacentral:rRNA from 1 species
GUCCACGCCCUAAACGAUGUCAACUGGUUGUCGGGGAAGUAAUUCCUUGGUAACGAAGCUAACGCGUGAAGUUGACCGCCUGGGGAGUACGGCCGCAAGGCUAAAACUCAAAGGAAUUGACGGGGACCCGCACAAGCGGUGGAUUAUGUGGAUUAAUUCGAUGCAACGCGAAAAACCUUACCUACCCUUGACAUGUGCGGAAGGGGGUAGAGAUACCUCGGUGCCCGAAAGGGAACCGCAACACAGGUGCUGCAUGGCUGUCGU